rnacentral:rRNA from 1 species
GAUGAACGCUGGCGGCGUGCCUAAUACAUGCAAGUCGAGCGAACAGACGAGGAGCUUGCUCCUCUGACGUUAGCGGCGGACGGGUGAGUAACACGUGGAUAACCUACCUAUCAGACUGGGAUAACUUCGGGAAACCGGAGCUAAUACCGGAUAAUAUAUUGAACCGCAUGGUUCAAUAGUGAAAGACGGUUUUGCUGUCACUUAUAGAUGGAUCCGCGCCGCAUUAGCUAGUUGUUAAGGUAACGGCUUACCAAGGCAACGAUGCGUAGCCGACCUGAGAGGGUGAUCGGCCACACUGGAACUGAGACACGGUCCAGACUCCUACGGGAGGCAGCAGUAGGGAAUCUUCCGCAAUGGGCGAAAGCCUGACGGAGCAACGCCGCGUGAGUGAUGAAGGUCUUCGGAUCGUAAAACUCUGUUAUUAGGGAAGAACAAAUGUGUAAGUAACUAUGCACGUCUUGACGGUACCUAAUCAGAAAGCCACGGCUAACUACGUG